CUGACUUCUCAAGCUCCUCAAACUCCUUGAUCACAGUCAUAUAGUGAUCGUAGACUGACUGCCUGUCAUGCAUCUUCAUAUUAAACAACCACUUGGAUAAUUUAAAGUAUGCUAUCCAGUUCUGCUCACCAUACAACUCUUGCAGGUGAGUGAUCAUGGCACGGACAGUGGAUAUAUGCUCAUACUGGCUCUAUAACUCGUUUGACAUGGAAGCCAGCACAUAGCACUUCACCCUAAGGUCAUCAUCUAUCCACUUAUCCAGAGUAGCUUUUUGCCCUAUC
rnacentral:lncRNA from 1 species